rnacentral:rRNA from 1 species
UACGUAGGGUGCGAGCGUUAAUCGGAAUUACUGGGCGUAAAGCGUGCGCAGGCGGUCUGUUAAGACCGAUGUGAAAUCCCCGGGCUUAACCUGGGAACUGCAUUGGUGACUGGCAGGCUUUGAGUGUGGCAGAGGGAGGUAGAAUUCCACGUGGUAGCAGUGAAAUGCGUAGAGAUGUGGAGGAAUACCGAUGGCGAAGGCAGCCUCCUGGGCCAACACUGACGCUCAUGCACGAAAGCGUGGGGAGCAAACAGG